GGAGAAAACACACACUAAAAUAAUGACAAAGUACAGUAAUAGAAAAAAAAUCAUUGAUUAAUGAGUUUUGCUUCCAUUAAUACGUAGUUUAAAAAGGGGCAGAAAUUUAUGUAUUUGCCUAUUAACAACUCAACAAAAUUAUAGUUUCUAUUUUGAAGCCUAAUCCCUACAAAUUUGUCAUUGGCCUAAUCAAAAUUUAUCUUCUUGUUUAAGGGUAGGAUGAACUGAGCUGACUUCUCCUUGAAUCUCGUAGUAAGUGCAACCAUAAAACUUAGAUGGAAUGUAUGAAACAGCUACUUGAAGACUGAAAAGUAAAGAGUGGUGGGUAAAUUGAAGAAGCAGAUGAAAAUGUGAAAUACUACCAAAUUAUCUAUGAGUUUAUUUUUCCUUAUUCUUCCCUGGCCUGGACACAAGGUAGCACUAAACCAAGAAAUAGGCACCAGAGUGAAGAAAGAGAGAGCUCCAAAGAAGCUCUCUAGUUCUGAUUCAAGGAAAAUGAAAGGAAAAUAAAAGAAAGAUGACUUCAAAGUGCACAUAAACAACCUAUGGUAUAUCCAUGCAAUGGAAUACUACUCAGCAAUCAAAAGGGAGAAACUAUUGACAUAUGCAACAACUUGGAUGGAUCUCCAAGCGAUUAAGUAAAAAGAGAGUCAGACACAAAGGUUAUAUACUGUACUAUUCCAUUUAAAGGAUGUUCUCCAAAAGACAAUAUUUUAUAUCCAUUAUAAAUAUUUGCCAAUAUUUAGGGGUGGGCAGAGGUUAUGAAUACAAAUGAGUAGCAUGAGAAAAUUUUGGGAGUGAUUAUACUUUGCUGUAUCCCAUUUGCGGUCAUGGUUAUAUGACUGUAUACAUGUAUUGAAAUUUGUAAGACUGUACAUCAAAAAUGUCAAUUUUAACUCAUGUCAAAUAAAAAUAUGUAGACUUCUGUACCUAUUUAACUUUGAUAGACAGUAUAGUCACAUUAUUGUAUCAACUUUUCUUCCUUACUAAUUGAUUGAAUAACACUUUUUGUAUUUUUUAAUAUCAAAAAUUUCCUUUCACAUGAAAGUGUGCAUGUGUGUGUGUGUUAAUAAGAAGACUCAUUUUAAAUGUAAAUAUAAAUUUGGAAGAUAUUCAUGAACAUUCCAUUUCACAAUAAAUCCAAAAUGUGCAAUAUUCUCCAUAUUUAUGUUU
rnacentral:lncRNA from 1 species